rnacentral:rRNA from 1 species
GACGAACGCUGGCGGCGUGCUUAACACAUGCAAGUCGAACGAAGAGCGAUGGAAGCUUGCUUCUAUCAAUCUUAGUGGCGAACGGGUGAGUAACGCGUAAUCAACCUGCCCUUCAGAGGGGGACAACAGUUGGAAACGACUGCUAAUACCGCAUACGAUCCAAUCUCGGCAUCGAGACUGGAUGAAAGGUGGCCUCUAUUUAUAAGCUAUCACUGAAGGAGGGGAUUGCGUCUGAUUAGCUAGUUGGAGGGGUAACGGCCCACCAAGGCGAUGAUCAGUAGCCGGUCUGAGAGGAUGAACGGCCACAUUGGGACUGAGACACGGCCCAGACUCCUACGGGAGGCAGCAGUGGGGAAUCUUCCGCAAUGGACGAAAGUCUGACGGAGCAACGCCACGUGAGUGAUGACGGCCUUCGGGUUGUAAAGCUCUGUUAAUCGGGACGAAUGGUUCUUGUGCAAAUAGUGCGAGGAUUUGACGGUACCG